UGUGAAGACGCGCUCCUCCUCCCCCACCCCCGCCUCCUCCGCGUCAACCUGCUCCUCCACGGCGCUCACCGCCGCUUCGCCGCGCCUCUCCUUCAACUCGGCCUCCCUGAAGAAUCUCCUGGCCCUCCUCCGCUCCGACCCGGCCUUUCUCUCCUCGUCCCCGCCGCAGCCGCCGCACACGGCCCCGUGCUCCCCUUCCGGCACCCGCGUUUUCCACCGCGUCCGCGUGGCCGCCUCAGCUCUCUGCGUGCUCCGCACCCUUCAGGCGCCGCCCGCCGCCGCCGAAGCCGACCGCCGCGUCUCCCCCGUCUCCGGCGGCGAGCAUCGUCUGGGGUCCUUCCUGUUCGCGGCGGCGGCGGCUUUGGUGUUUUCGGGGGCGUUUCUUGGGUGGCUGGUCGAGGCGCCGAGCCAUUGCUCUGGCUACCGUGACACCGCGAGGAAGCCUCGCGUCCUGUUAAGGAGCUUAUUAUCUGCUUCGGUGCCACACUCCCCGGUGGUUUUCAGAUCUGACUGAAACUGAGAUUGGUCUCGAUGUAAUCCGUAUGGUUGAUCCCAGUACAAGCAGGACCCUAAGGAUUUAUCCCCUUUUUACACUGACUAAAUGGGAGGUUUUGGAUUCAACUGUAAUUGUGAUUUGUGCGAAAACUUUGGUAUACAUUGAAGCAAAGCUAACAAGGAUGAAGUCAAACAGCUAUACCUCCAAUGCUUUGCUUGAUACUGUGACAGUAGCAAUAGUCCAGAAUGAUAUUAUUUGUGCAUCCACUUCUUUGAUUGCUGGAAGCAUUGAGGAGGGUAUGUCUGGCCAGAGCGCCACUUUACCGUGAUCAUCAUUGUAUAUUGGUUAUGUUGGAUCAUCUGUUUCUCUGAUGCUUGGAAACAUUGAGGAGGGGAUGUCUGUCCAGAAGAGAUGAGUGCAGAUUGUCCGUACACGGCAAGGUAAUGAUGAUGACAGCUAUAUUUGAAGACACAUAUGAAGGAUCAUUUGAAUUUUACUUGGGAUGAGAUCAUGCGUACCUCAGUUGUAGCACGGGCUGUCCGGCGAUGUGGAAAGCUGACUUGUUGAGAAGAAAUUACCUCAGUUGUAGCACGGGCUGUCCGGCAUGUUGAAAGCUGACUUGUUAAGAAGAAAUUGACCAAAGACUUGAUAUUUACUAGCAAAUAUGCCCGUGCGUUGCAAUGGGUGAAAAACUAUUAUCCCCGCAUGGCUGCAUCCUCCAACUAAAUGAAUAUGUUGUCCAAGACUGAAGAAUAGUUAUGGAGAUGUAGUAGAGAUACUUUUUUUUUGAAAUUAUAUGCUAAAAUUAGAUAAGGACUUUUAAAAGGCAA